rnacentral:rRNA from 1 species
UGGGGAAUAUUGCACAAUGGAGGGAACUCUGAUGCAGCGACGCCGCGUGAACGAAGAAGGCUUUCGAGUCGUAAAGUUCUUUUAUAUGGGAAGAUAAUGACGGUACCAUAAGAAGAAGCCCCGGCUAACUACGUGCCAGCAGCCGCGGUAAUACGUAGGGGGCUAGCGUUGUCCGGAAUCACUGGGCGUAAAGGGUUCGCAGGCGGAAAUGCAAGUCAGGUGUAAAAGGCAGUAGCUUAACUACUGUAAGCAUUUGAAACUGCAUAUCUUGAGAAGAGUAGAGGUAAGUGGAAUUUUUGGUGUAGCGGUGAAAUGCGUAGAUAUUAAAAAGAAUACCGGUGGCGAAGGCGACUUACUGGGCUCAUUCUGACGCUGAGGAACGAAAGCGUGGGUAGCAAACAGG